GCUGCCUUAGCUCAGUCGGUAGAGCAUUUCACAACGUAAUGAAAAGGUCGCGAGUUCGAUUCUCGCAGGCAGCU
rnacentral:tRNA from 1 species